UCACAACUUAUAAGGAAAAAAUGAGAUUCUUGGUGGAUCAAUCGCUACGGGACUUCAGUAUAAAGAGGCGACACACAUAGUUGUCAAGGGUAACAUCCCAGCAGGUGCAAGGAUUUUGUGGGAAUUGGAGCUAAAGCAAGUGAUGUCAAUAGGUUGGAUUGAGAGCUGUUCAAAAGAAAGUAGGCUAUUGCCUACUGAACCAAAAUGAAGUAUUGAAAAAUGAAUUUCUCAAGAAAGUGCAAUUACACCACCAACAAAUAAGUACCUUGUAAGGAACUGCAAUUCGACGGGCUCUAAUGUCCUGAAGCAUAGUGCUAGGAACAAGGCAGGAGUUCCAAGGAGGCUGAACUUUGAUGCUCAUCAUAGGCAUCUGAAGUGCGAGUUAGAUACUGAACACACAGAGACGUUGUACGAUUAUGCUCUGAGAUACAAGAUGCAUGAGUACUGUGAACUCCAUGGAUGUAAAAGUGUCCUGAGCUGCAAAGACGGAGCUGACAUAAUGAU